rnacentral:rRNA from 1 species
UAUUGGACAAUGGGGGCAACCCUGAUCCAGCAAUGCCGCGUGAGUGAUGAAGGCCUUAGGGUUGUAAAGCUCUUUUACCAGGGAUGAUAAUGACAGUACCUGGAGAAUAAGCUCCGGCUAACUCCGUGCCAGCAGCCGCGGUAAUACGGAGGGAGCUAGCGUUGUUCGGAAUUACUGGGCGUAAAGCGCGCGUAGGCGGCGAUUUAAGUCAGAGGUGAAAGCCCGGGGCUCAACCCCGGAAUAGCCUUUGAGACUGGAUUGCUAGAAUCCUGGAGAGGUGAGUGGAAUUCCGAGUGUAGAGGUGAAAUUCGUAGAUAUUCGGAAGAACACCAGUGGCGAAGGCGGCUCACUGGACAGGUAUUGACGCUGAGGUGCGAAAGCGUGGGGAGCAAACAGG